rnacentral:rRNA from 1 species
AUUGAACGCUGGCGGCAGGCCUAACACAUGCAAGUCGAGCGGAUGAAGGGAGCUUGCUCCUGGAUUCAGCGGCGGACGGGUGAGUAAUGCCUAGGAAUCUGCCUGGUAGUGGGGGAUAACGUCCGGAAACGGGCGCUAAUACCGCAUACGUCCUGAGGGAGAAAGUGGGGGAUCUUCGGACCUCACGCUAUCAGAUGAGCCUAGGUCGGAUUAGCUAGUUGGUGGGGUAAAGGCCUACCAAGGCGACGAUCCGUAACUGGUCUGAGAGGAUGAUCAGUCACAUUGGAACUGAGACACGGUCCAGACUCCUACGGGAGGCAGCAGUGGGGAAUAUUGGACAAUGGGCGAAAGUCUGAUCCAGCCAUGCCGCGUGUGUGAAGAAGGUCUUCGGAUUGUAAAGCACUUUAAGUUGGGAGGAAGGGCAGUAAGUUAAUACCUUGCUGUUUUGACGUUACCAACAGAAUAAGCACCGGCUAACUUCGUG